rnacentral:rRNA from 1 species
AUUGAACGCUGGCGGCAGGCUUAACACAUGCAAGUCGAGAGAGCGGCGGACGGGUGAGUAAUGUCUGGGAAACUGCCUGAUGGAGGGGGAUAACUACUGGAAACGGUAGCUAAUACCGCAUACCAUCAGAUGUGCCCAGAUGGGAUUAGCUAGUAGGUGGGGUAAUGGCUCACCUAGGCGACGAUCCCUAGAUGGGCUGAGAGGAUGACCAGCCACACUGGAACUGAGCGCCGGUCAAGACGCCUCCGUGAGGCAGCAGUGGGAAAUAUUGCACAAUGGGCGCAAGCCUGAUGCAGCCAUGCCGCGUGUGGGAGGAAGGCCUGCGGGUUUUAAAGCACUUUCAGCGAGGAGGCGUUACUCGCAGAAGAAGCGCCGGCUAACUCCGUGCCAGCAGCCGCGGUAAUUC